rnacentral:rRNA from 1 species
UACGAAGGGGGCUAGCGUUGUUCGGAAUUACUGGGCGUAAAGCGCACGUAGGCGGAUAUUUAAGUCAGGGGUGAAAUCCCAGAGCUCAACUCUGGAACUGCCUUUGAUACUGGGUAUCUUGAGUAUGGAAGAGGUAAGUGGAAUUGCGAGUGUAGAGGUGAAAUUCGUAGAUAUUCGCAGGAACACCAGUGGCGAAGGCGGCUUACUGGUCCAUAACUGACGCUGAGGUGCGAAAGCGUGGGGAGCAAACAGGGAUUAAGAAAC